rnacentral:rRNA from 1 species
AUUGCACAAUGCGGCGCAAGCCUGAUUGCAUGCCCAUGCCGCGUGCUGUGCAGAAGCCGUUCUGGGUUGUAAUAGCAGUUGUCAGUGCCGUGAGGAAGGUAGUGUAGUUAAUAGCUGCAUUAUUGUACGUUAGCGCAGAAGAAGCAACCGGCUAACUCCGUGCCAGCAGCCGCGGUAAUACGGAGGGUGCGAGCGUUAAUCCGGAAUUACUGGCGAAAGCGCAUGCAGGUGGUUGUUAAGUCAGAUGUGAAAAGCCCGGGGCCUCAACCUCGGAAUUGCAUUUGAAACUGGCAGACUAGAGUACUGUAGAGGGGGGUAGAAUUUCAGGUGUAGCGGUGAAAUGCGUAGAGAUCUGCGAAUACCGGUGGGAAGGCGCCCCCUGGACGAACUGACACUCAGAUGCGAAAGCGUGGGGAGCAAACAGGAUUAGAUACCCUGGUAGUCCACGCCGUAAACGAUGUCUACUUGGAGGUUGUGGCCUUGAGCCGUGGCUUUCGGAGCUAACGCGUUAAGUAGACCCGCCUGGGGAGUACGGUCGCAAGAUUAAAACUCAAAUGAAUUGACGGGGGCCCGCACAAGCGGUGGAGCAUGUGGUUUAAUUCGAUGCAACGCGAAGAACCUUACCUACUCUUGACAUCCAGAGAACUUUCCAGAGAUGGAUUGGUGCCUUCGGGAACUCUGAGACAGGUGCUGCAUGGCUGUCGUCAGCUCGUGUUGUGAAAUGUUGGGUUAAGUCCCGCAACGAGCGCAACCCUUAUCCUUGUUUGCCAGCGAGUAAUGUCGGGAACUCCAGGGAGACUGCCGGUGAUAAACCGGAGGAAGGUGGGGACGACGUCAAGUCAUCAUGGCCCUUACGAGUAGGGCUACACACGUGCUACAAUGGCGCAUACAGAGGGCAGCCAACUUGCGAAAGUGAGCGAAUCCCAAAAAGUGCGUCGUAGUCCGGAUUGGAGUCUGCAACUCGACUCCAUGAAGUCGGAAUCGCUAGUAAUCGUGGAUCAGAAUGCCACGGUGAAUACGUUCCCGGGCCUUGUACACACCGCCCGUCACACCAUGGGAGUGGGCUGCAAAAGAAGUAGGUAGUUUAACCUUCGGGGGGACGCUUACCACUUUGUGGUUCAUGACUGGGGUGAAGUCGUAACAAGGUAGCGCUAGGGGAACCUGGCGCUGGAUCACCU